rnacentral:misc_RNA from 1 species
AAACUGCGAUACGUAGUGUGAAUUGCAGAAUUCAGUGAAUCAUCGAAUCUUUGAACGCAAAUUGCGCUACUGGGUAUUCCUGGUAGCAUACUUGGCUGAGUAUCAUCUGGAUAAAUCACAAAACUUUUUUUUUGUGGAUAUGAGGUUUGUCACAUUAAGAAAAAUUUAUUUUUCUGAUGGGUCCCUUUAAAUUCAGUACGGUGGGAAAGGGUAUUUAACUGUCCUUUUGUACCAACUAGUGUGUUAAUUGUCCCAUUUCGGACAUUUUUUAUAUGCUAUGUUGAGAACAGGGACACUUUAAAGUUAUAUACUAUUCUGGCCAUUCAAUAAAUCAAAAUCUCUUUUGAAAUUUUGAUCUCAGCUCAAGUAAGACUACCCGCUGAAUUUAA